GACGAACGCUGGCGGCGUGCUUAACACAUGCAAGUCGAACGAAGUGGCGAACGGGUGAGUAACGCGUAAUCAACCUGCCCUUCAGAGGGGGACAACAGGUGGAAACGACUGCUCAUACCGCAUACUGAAGGAGGGGAUUGCGUCUGAUUAGCUAGUUGGAGGGGUAACGGCCCACCAAGGCGAAGAUCAGUAGCCGGGCUGGGAGGAGGAACGGCCACAUUGGGACCGAGGAACGGCCCAGACUCCUACGGGAGGCAGCAGUUGGGAAUCUUCCGCAAUGGAAGAAAGUCUGGCGAAGCAACGCCGCGUGAGUGAUGACGGCUUUCGGGUUGUAAAGCUCUGUUAAUCGGGACGCGGUACCGGAAUAGAAAGCCACGGCUAACUACGUGCCAGCAGCCGCGGUAAUUC
rnacentral:rRNA from 1 species